rnacentral:rRNA from 1 species
ACUCAAAUGAAUUGACGGGAAUCUGCACAAACGGAGGAUUAUGGGGAUUAAUUCGAUGCAACGCGAAGAACCUUACCAGGGUUUGACAUGUUCAGAAUUUUUCAGAAAUGGAAAAGUGCCACACUCCGCCCUUCGGGGCCAAUGUGAGUGUGGAGCUGAAACACAGGUGGUGCAUGGCUGUCGUCAGCUCGUGCGUUGACGUGUAUGGUUAAGUCCUGCAACGAGCGCAACCCUCGUCCUUAGUUACCUUUUAGGUUCUCUAAGGAGACUGCGCGCGCAAGCGCUGAGGAAGGUGAGGAUGACGUCAAGUCAGCAUGCCCCUUACACCCUGGGCGUCACCCGUAAUACAAUGGUUGGGACAAUCAGAAGCUACCCCGCGAGGGCACGCAAAUCUGCUAAACUCAACCCCAGUUCGGAUUGCAGGCUGCAACUCGCCUGCAUGAAGCCGGAUUCGUUAGUAAUCGCCGGUCAGCCAUACGGCGGUGAAUACGUUCCCAGAUUUUGUACACACCGCCCGU